GCCCUUAUAGCUCAGUGGUAGAGCAUUCCACUUGUAAUGGAAAGGUCUGUUGUUCAAUCCAGCAUGGGGGCA
rnacentral:tRNA from 1 species